rnacentral:ncRNA from 1 species
UGAUAGCUAUGAAGCGUGAGGUUGCUGCCUGAGAAUAAGGCAGGUUUUCCGUGGAGCGAAUGUCAAGUCGAAGAAACUGGCGACAA